rnacentral:misc_RNA from 1 species
AACGCACCUUGCGCUCCUUGGUAUUCCGAGGAGCAUGCCUGUUUGAGUGUCAUUAAAUUCUCAACCUCACCCAUUUUGUCAUGAAGUGUGUGUGUAGGCUUGGAUGUGGAGGCUUGCAGGUCCGGCUCUCUGAGUUGGUCUGCUCCUCUGAAAUGCAUUAGUAGGUUGUGCCCCUCAUCUAUUGGUGUGAUAAUUAUCUACGCCGUGGAUCAGUGUUGGCAACAAUGUGACCUGCUUCUAACCGUCCGACUCGGACAACUUGACAUUUUUGACCUCAAAUCAGGUAAGACUACCCGCUGAACUUAA